UCCUUUGUAUGCUGAUAGUGUGGAUGCUGAAUAAUGUUCAGGGGUUGAUAUUCAUGGGAUUCUUCUUCUGAGAACUUUGAUUGGAAAGAUAUUUGGCAGCAUUGGAUCAGUGGGAGGAGCCCUUGCUUUAGGUAAAGAGGGUCCUCUUGUCCAUACUAGUGCUUGUAUUGCUUCUUUGCUUGGACAAAUGGUUUCAAGUAUUCAAAAGUGAUCGAGAUCGUCGAGAUCUGGUAACUUGUGGGUCUGCAACAGGAGUUUCUGCUGCAUUUAGAGCUCCUGUUGGUGGUGUAUUGUUUGCAUUAGAAGAGG